rnacentral:rRNA from 1 species
UACGAAGGGGGCUAGCGUUGCUCGGAAUCACUGGGCGUAAAGCGCACGUAGGCGGGUCGUUAAGUCAGGGGUGAAAUCCUGGAGCUCAACUCCAGAACUGCCCUUGAUACUGGCGAUCUCGAGUUCGGGAGAGGUGAGUGGAACUGCGAGUGUAGAGGUGAAAUUCGUAGAUAUUCGCAAGAACACCAGUGGCGAAGGCGGCUCACUGGCCCGAUACUGACGCUGAGGUGCGAAAGCGUGGGGAGCAACAGGG